CGUCUCAGUUCNGAUUGCAGGCUGCAACUCGCCUGCAUGAAGUCGGAAUUGCUGUAAUCGCAGAUCAGCAUGCUGCGGUGAAUACGUUCCCGGGCCUUGUACACACCGCCCGUCACACCAUGGGAGUCGGUAACACCCGAAGUCGGUAGCCUAACCGUAAGGAGGGCGCCGCCGAAGGUGGGAUUGAUGACUGGGGUGAAGUCGUAACAAGGUAAC
rnacentral:rRNA from 1 species